rnacentral:rRNA from 1 species
GACGAACGCUGGCGGCGUGCUUAACACAUGCAAGUCGAACGGAAAGGCCCUGCUUUUGUGGGGUGCUCGAGUGGCGAACGGGUGAGUAACACGUGAGUAACCUGCCCUUGACUUUGGGAUAACGUCAGGAAACUGGGGCUAAUACCGGAUAGGAGCUCCUGCUGCAUGGUGGGGGUUGGAAAGUUUCGGCGGUUGGGGAUGGACUCGCGGCUUAUCAGCUUGUUGGUGGGGUAGUGGCUUACCCAGGCUUUGACGGGUAGCCGGCCUGAGUGGGUGACCGGCGACAUUGGGACUGAGAUACGGCCCAGACUCCUACGGGAGGCAGCAGUGGGGAAUAUUGCACAAUGGGCGGAAGCCUGAUGCAGCAACGCCGCGUGCGGGAUGACGGCCUUCGGGUUGUAAACCGCUUUCGCCUGUGACGAAGCUUGAGUGACGGUAAUGGGUAAAGAAGCAGCGGCUAACUACGUG